CAUGUUUCAAGCAGACCACCAUAGUCCCUGUGCCCAAGAACACAAAGGCAACCUGCCUAAAUGACUACACACCCGUAGCACUCACGUCCGUAACCAUGAAGUGCUUUGAAAGGCUGGUAAUGGCUCACAUCAACACCAUUAUCCCAGAAACCCUAGACCCACUCCAAUUUUCAUACCGGCCAAACAGAUCCACAGAAGAUGCAAUCUCUAUUGUACCCCACACUGCCCUUUCCCACCUGGACAAAAGGAACACCUAUGUGAGAAGGCUAUUCAUUGACUACAGCUCAGCGUUCAACACCAUAGUGCCCUCAAAGCUCAUCACUAAGCUAAGGAUCCUGGGACUAAACACCUCCCUCUGCAACUGGAUCCUGGACUUCCUGAUGGGCCACCCCCAGGUGGUGAGGGUAGGUAGCAACACAUCUGCCACGCUGAUCCUCAACACAGGGGGCCCUCAGGGGUGUGUGCUCAGUCUCCUCCUGCCCUCCCUGUUCACCCACGACUGCAUGGCCAGGCACGACUCCAACACCAUCAUUAAGUUUGCAGACGACACACCAGUGGUAGGCCUGAUCACCGACAACGAUGAGACAGCCUAUAGGGAGGAGGUCAGAGACUUGGCCUGGUGGUGCCAGAAUAUCAACCUCUCCCUCAACGUAACCAAGACAAAGGAGAUGAUCGUGGACUACAGGAAAAGGAGGACCGAUCACGCCCCCAUUCUCAUCGACGGGGCUGUAGUGGAGCAGGUUGAGAGCUUCAAGAUACCUUGGUGUCCACAUCAACAACAAACUAAAAUGGUCAAAACACAACAAGACAGUCGUGAAGAGGGCACGACAAAGCCUAUUCCACCUCAGGAAACUAAAAAGAUUUGGCAUGGGUCCUCAGAUCCUCAAAAGGUUCUACAGCUGCAACAUCGAGAGCAUCCUGAAUGGUUGCAUCACUGCCUGGUAUGGCAAUUUCUCGGCCUCCGACCGCAAGGCACUACAGAGGGUAGUGCGUACGGCCCAGUACAUCACUGGGGCCAAGCUUCCUGACAUCCAGGACCUCUACACCUGGCGGUUUCAGAGGAAGGCCCUAAAAAUUGUCAAACACCCCAGCCACCCCAGUCAUAGACUGUUCUCUCUACUACCGCAUGGUAAGCGGUACCGGAGUGCCAAGUCUAGGACAAAAAGGCUUCUCAACAGUUUUUACCCCCAUACCAUAAGGCUCCUGAACAGGUAAUCAAAUGGCUACCUGGACUAUUUGCAUUGUCCCCCCCCCCCCCGCCAACCCCUCUUUUUACG
rnacentral:lncRNA from 1 species